UAAGCAUUUAUGUUAAUUAGCUGAAUGUUAGUUUUUUUUGUUUGUUUUUAACCUUCUGAGCUAUUUUAAUCUGUGUAAAUAUUUGGAGUUUUUCUCUCUUGUAGAAUCUUGUUUUAGUAAAGUCUGUGAAUGAUUUUAUGAAAUUUGAUCUGGUCUGAGUUCCUGAACCUUUAAUUUUGACCAUGCUUUUCGGAGCAAGGGUCAUCCGCCACACAAGGUAAGGGUUAUUAUUAUUAUUAUUUUAAAUAACUAAUUCUUACCCAUACUGCAUAUAGCUUUCUGAAAGACUGGUUCUGCAAAAGGCAUACUGGUAUUGUAAGUACCUAUUUUUAAAUAACCUUUCCAGAAUACUUUUUGAGAAGGGGAAUCUGGACUCAGUAAAUAAGCUAAGUGAAUGGGGCUACAUUCUGCGAUAAAAAUAAUAAAAUUUAAAUUUUCAUACAUGAACAUUUCCUAUUUGUUGCUAGGAUUGACUUACUACUUAAAUGCUUCAGUAAUAUUGUGCUUGCUUCACUUUGUAAAAUAUUCUUGCAUGAUAGUGGAGGUCUUGGAUCAGAAAUAAAUAAGGGUGAGAGAGGAGCUCAUUCUGUAAGUUCAGACUAUAACACUGAACCCAGAACAAAUGCACACCUGCAGGUUAAUUCUGUGCCCAGGACAGGUGUCUGGUAAGCCAGCUGGUGCGUGCUCUGAUUAUCUCCCGCUUGGAUUACUGCAAUGCGCUCCAUGUAGGGCUACUACCUUUGAAGGUGACUUGGAAACUACAACUAAUCCAGAAUGCAGCAGCUAGACUAGUAACUGAGAGCAGCCAAUGGGACCAUAUAACAUCUGUCCUGAAAGACUGCAUUGGCUCCCAGUACAUUUCCAAGCACAAUUAAAAAUGUUGACCUUUAAAGCCCUAAACGGCCUCAGUCCUGUAUACCUGAAGGAGCGUCUCCAAUCCCAUCAUUCAGCCCAGACACUGAGGUCCAGCUCCAAGGGCCUUCU